rnacentral:rRNA from 1 species
CAGUCGCGUUUGCCGGGACUCAGCCUUGCUUCUGCUUGGUGUACUUUCUGGUUUGAUGGGCCAACAUCAAUUUUGACCGUUGGAGAAAGGCUUUGGGAAUGUGGCACCUUAGGGUGUGUUAUAGCCCUUUGUUGUAUACAACGGUUGGGAUUGAGGACUGCAGCAUGCCUUCAUGGCCGGGGUUACCCCACGUACAUGCUUAGGAUGUUGGCAUAAGGGCUUUAAUCGACCGUCUUGAACACGGACCAAGGAGUCUAACAUAUGUGCGAGUGUU